AAGCAGGCAGAUAUUUCUUUUACUGCCACCGAAUACAUUAGCAUGGGAUAAUGGAAUAGGACCCUGUCCUUCAUGUUUCGCGUUGGUUGUGUGUUAAGUGCGCGCGCAAGCGCGUGGCUGGCACAUGGUGUUCCUCUAAAGGAAGACCCGGGGAAUGAUUAAUAAGGAUAAUUGGGGGCAUUAAUAUUUAAUUGGCAAAAGGGAAAUUCUUGGAUUUAUGAAAAAAUAACUUCUGCCAAAGCAUCUGCCCAGGAUGGUUUCCUUAAUCCAGAACCAAAGUUAAGGGAUCCAAAAACAUUAAAUACCCGCCUAAUCUUAACCCUAAACCAUGGCCACCAACGAUUGGGAAAACUUUCCCACCGAAAUGGUGCCCGGGGGGGGGCCUCUCCCUUUGCCCCCUAAAAAAAGGCCCAACAAAACGCUCCCCUUUGGG
rnacentral:rRNA from 1 species